rnacentral:tRNA from 1 species
GAGGACAUAGCUCAGCGGUAGAGUGCCUGCCUUAUAUGUGCAGGGCCCUGGGUUCAACUCCCAGUACCCCA